UCUCCCGCUCGUCUCUCCCUCUCCCUCGCGCGAGCAGAUACGGCGGCCUCCCUCGACCCCGCGCCGCUGCGCCACCUCGCGUCUGCCCGCCAGUGAGCACCGCCUCCUCGCCGGACCCCAGGAGCCCCGCCGCCCGCGCUGCCGCCUGCGCCAUGUCGCGCGCCGCCACCUCCCCACAAGCUCGCCGCCCCGCACUAAGCUCCUUUGCGCCCCGCCCGCGUCCCCGCGUUGCCGCGACCGCCCCAUGCUGCCUCACGCCCGGAUCCGGCCGCGGGAGGUCCGGACACUCCGGAUCCGGCCUCCUCCUCGCCGUAUCCAAAGAUACUUGUAUGGGGAUCCGGCCUUCUCCUCGCCGCUGCCGCAGGCAUUGAACCGCCCCGUCCCCGAUGUUCGCGAAGCGCUUCUUGCAGAGGAAGCUGCACCAGGUCUCGCCCCACCCCCUCUCCCGCUCUAUCCUGUCAGAUUUGGGGUCGAUCAGACCGUCUUCACCGGGGCUGGUCGGCGGAGUUUUCUUCCGGUGCUGACCGUGGCCGUGUUAGAGAUUCUGUUUGUCUGGAUGUUGCUACAGGGAGGAGGGGGAGAGAAAGGAGGCAGUGGAGGAGGAGGAGGGGCGGCCGGUGAUGUGGCCUAGCUGGAGGCGCAGAUCGCGCUCCACUACGGCAUCCCCUACGCCUCCUCCGUCAUGGCGUUCGACCCCGUGCAGCAGCUGCUUGCCGUGGGGACGCUGGAUGGGAGGAUCAAAAUCUUUGGGGGUGAUAAUAUCGAAGGCAUCCUCAUAACGCCAAAGAGCAUGCCAUACAAGUAUCUUCAGGUUUGGCACUUCAUACAGAAAGAGUAGCCCGAUUUGUUAACUGUAGGAUGGACCAAACUGUAGGAAUUUGGUCAUUGGUCUUGGCACAUGGAGCAGCAGCACAAUGCAAAACUGCUCCGCUAAAAAAACAGAGCAGCUAGCCAACCAAACUGAGAUACAAUGUAGACAGGCAGGCAGCAAGUACUCCAACUAGUUAGCAGACAUAUUUUUCCCUUCCAAUCCCCUUCUUGCUGUUGUGAUUACCACCAACAAAGAACUGUUGAUCAAUAGUACUAUUCACUUCUAAUAUUGUGCUCCGCAGAGAAUUUUAUCCGGCCUCCUCAUCCUCCGCGGGAAAGAAUAAAAUGGAUCUUUUUUGGUUAGGCGAAAUUUAUGUCUGUACAUGCUUGAUAUGAAAGGAGGGGUUUAUCUAAUUAACUACACAUAUGGUUUCACAUUCCACCUGUGUGCUCGCAAUUUAAAUGCAGUAUAUUUUACUCACCAAUACAUCUUGAACAAUCUAAAAAAUAUAUAGCUUGGUUUAUCUUUGUAACUCCUUAUCUGAUUUUUUCCAUUUUCCACAUUGUUGUGUCUAUUUUCUCAGUUUGGUCCUGUGUAAAUACUUGUCUUAGGGGUCUCUGUAUUGGAUAUACACGGAAUAUUCAAUUUGUCUCAAAUGCUCAGUGGUAAAAACCAGCCAUGCUGGCGGUUCUUAUCAGUGUGAUGGUAUGCUAACUGUUUCUGAUAUAAUUCUGCUCUAAAAGCCCUACACUAUUUUUGUCUUGUAGAUACGCCGUGCAGACAAAUGCUGAGUUAAAAGGUCAUAAAUUUACACUAAUUUAAGAUUGUCUUGAUCUCAAGUGCUGGCUCCUACAGCAUUGCAUUUCAGCAAGUGAAAUGCUACAUUUCUACUCCUAACCCAUUCUCUCUUUCUUAGUGUUUUUGUUAUGCAGGUUGGAAGAAAAGAAGAAGAUCCAGAGAAGAUCUUAGUAAUAAGAUAGUUUUUAUGAAAAUAGAUAUAUAGUUUUAGGUCAUUUCUUGUAAUUUUAGAUAUGGAGUGCUUGCCUUUAGUUUUUGUUUUGACUUUGUGAAACUUGCUACUCUUGGUAACAUGUGUAUGAUAUGUGUUGGAUAUAUAUGUGUUCAUGAGUAUCGGUAA